rnacentral:rRNA from 1 species
GAGUUUGAUCGUGGCUCAGAGUGAACGCUGGCGGCAGGCCUAACACAUGCAAGUCGAGCGGCAGCGCGGGGGCAACCCUGGCGGCGAGCGGCGGACGGGUGAGGAAUGCAUCGGAAUCUACCUCGUUGUGGGGGAUAACCUCGGGAAACCGGGACUAAUACCGCAUACGACCUACGGGUGAAAGUGGGGGACCGCAAGGCCUCACGCGAUGAGAUGAGCCGAUGCCGGAUUAGCUAGUUGGCGGGGUAAAAGCCCACCAAGGCGACGAUCCGUAGCUGGUCUGAGAGGACGACCAGCCACACUGGAACUGAGACACGGUCCAGACUCCUACGGGAGGCAGCAGUGGGGAAUUUUGGACAAUGGGGGCAACCCUGAUCCAGCCAUGCCGCGUGAGUGAAGAAGGCCUUC